GAUUUGGAUCCUAUUCAACUAAACAUACAUAAAUCGACUAAAAAGCUAAGGUUGAACACUUGAGAGCAUAAUGUCUGGUUCGCCCUCCUUCUUGCUGUAUUUGCUUUUCUGUUAUUCCACCAGGUAAUGUGUAGCUAUAAUUAGUGUUGGCAUAUUUUUCGUGAAGUCACGAUUUGAUAUGCGACCUUCUCUCUGAAAUAUUCAGAAAACAAAAUGAAUUCAUACGAUCCGCACAACUUUCUAUGGUCAGCAUUUUAUAAGGUCAACCCUUCACAUAGUUUGGGAAUUACAUAAUAGUUAAUAAUCAUGUUCAUAUGGAGGAAAAAUGGCAUAAACAGAAAAUGACACGGCUUUAAGGGGUACAAUAUUCAUUCUUAAUGACCAAAUCAUUUACAUAUCACCAUUUAUCGGUUCCUCUCCUUUUUUUUUUAAUAACUGUGAAACAGGUUUUCACAACCCAGUAAGUUAGUCUACUAAUUUCGUUUGGUAUUUUAUAUUGACAGGGUUUUACUAUUUUCCAAUUCUGUAAGAAUUUUUUUUUAAAACUUUCAAAAUCUUUUUGUAAAAAUGUUGAAAUAAAGUAGUUUUCAUUCAAGAGUUUACUCAUUUUUUUUCUAGAAAUUCGUUAAUAGAUGUCACACAAACUGUAACACUCUCAUAGUUCGAAUGCAUACUUAUUCAGUCAGUUAUAGCACUGCAGAAAAUUGACCAAGUGUAAGACCAAUUGUAGUGAAGCCUCAUUAAGCCAACAGCUCUCCCGCUGCCGCCAUAAAAGUACACAUGUGGACCUCUGCCUAUGACUCACCCAUGCAAUAUGGGUUCAAGCCAAGGGUGCACCAGGUUCCUAAUUUGGGGUAUGUUGAUAUGUGUAUGAUUGACAAUUUCGGGAAAGAAUCAUGAUUUUAUUGGAUGCAACUCUAUGCUCCAGCUUAAUGUUACAGAGAUAGUUGAGGUAAUCUUUUAACCCUGAUUGUAGUGACUUCGACAUGAUAUAAACUGUCAUACUAUCAUAAUAAAUAUCUUUUCUAAGUUUACUAUUUUAAAAGAAGUAUUAAUUUUGAGUA